UAGGGAAUCUUCCGCAAUGGGCGAAAGCCUGACGGAGCAACGCCGCGUGAGUGAUGAAGGUCUUCGGAUCGUAAAACUCUGUUAUUAGGGAAGAACAAAUGUGUAAGUAACUAUGCACGUCUUGACGGUACCUAAUCAGAAAGCCACGGCUAACUACGUGCCAGCAGCCGCGGUAAUACGUAGGUGGCAAGCGUUAUCCGGAAUUAUUGGGCGUAAAGCGCGCGUAGGCGGUUUUUUAAGUCUGAUGUGAAAGCCCACGGCUCAACCGUGGAGGGUCAUUGGAUACUGGAAAACUUGAGUGCAGAAGAGGAAAGUGGAAGUCCAUGUGUAGCGGUGAAAUGCGCAGAGAUAUGGAGGAACACCAGUGGCGAAGGCGACUUUCUGGUCUGUAACUGACGCUGAUGUGCGAAAGCGUGGGGAUCAAACAGG
rnacentral:rRNA from 1 species